ACAAUCAAUAAAGGCAGAGUGGGCUCUGUUCGCAGAGUCUAACCCCAAAGUCUCUCCGUUGUUUCCCAGGCCGGUGUCACACUCACCCCGAUACCUCUCAGUUCCUGUGAGCCUCGCUCUCGCUUUACAUUGGAAGCUGGUAAUUUAUUAAGCCUCCUCAAGGUAGUCAUUUGUUCCAGCAGGAGCACAGUCAAGGACCUCCCUGCUUCGCACAGCAUUUGUCACCUGUCACCUUACCUUUCGAACGCCAAGCAGGCAUCCGCUGAGACAGACAGGAGUCACCUCUGUCACAGAAACCUGAGCGGUAACUGGAAGAAGACACUAGCUCUGAAGCCAUCCGCGGGUGUGGCCUGAUGUCUUUCCAGGCUUGCAGCAGCUCUCAAGUGCCUGAUCGCUCCAAAAUGAUCAACACCGAAUGAAAAGGAAAACUAGAUCCUGGGUUUAAAAAAUAUAUACACUUUUAUGUCAUUUCUCUUUGGGGAUGGACAGAAGUUUGUUCAUUUAGGCUCAGGAAACAGACUAACAAGGAUUUCAAUUCCUAGUCAUAUACUUGCUUAUUGUGUGACUUUGGGUGAGUUACUUAUGCUCUGAGCUCAACUUCCUUAUGUAUAGAGUAGACCUAAGAUCCUCAACUCGGGAUUUCUGUGAGGAUGGGGGAAGUGCUACAUGUGAACCAUCAAAUAGAGUCUGGCAUGGGGCUGGCCCUCCACAGCCAUGAGCACAGCUGAUUCUCUUCCACUGAACAAGCGAUUCUUGGCUGUUUCUUAGAACCAUCUGGUUUAAAAAUCCCAAAGCCAAGGCGGACUGUCCAGCUUUCUGGGGUGGGGCCAGGCACAAGCAUCAAUCAAAGCUUUAUUGUUUCCCUGCCCAGCCUAGGUUAAGCAGCAUUAGACUGGAUUUGAGCCCAGGGCAAGCGUCUCUGCAUGGGCUCCUUGGCAGCUUGGCUCCCAAGGUAGCUGGGCUUCAGAUUGAUGGGGAAAGUGAGAGGGAGCCCUCAACUGUCUUGGACAAGGCAGGCAGAGGGAUCUCCAAGAUCUAUCAGAUUAAUCACUCUGGGACUUUCCCUUCUCCAAUAUUUUACCCAAGCAAGAACAGCCUAAAAUAAAAUGAGAUGGGAGCCUAAAGCAACAUCAUACCCAAAGGUGAACAGAUAUUCGGAGAGGAUUGGAACAAAGUCUACCCUGUACAUGGAACUACGCAGGCAGCUUUAGUCAGGACACAUCCCCAACCCCAGAGUGAUCGGCUCUCUUCACUCGGGUUCCCUACAUCACUCUCAGAGGAUGGAGUAUGGCCCUGGCCCAGUAGCAUUAGGAUCACAGGGGGCUGGUCCAAAAUGCAGGAUUUCAUACCAAAUACUCCCAAGUAAGCAGACCUACUGAGACAAACUCUAGCUGAAAGCCAGGCUCACACACUGUAAGAUGGCUUCCAAGCGGUUUCCAGCAUGCUCAUUAAAAACUGCUAAGCACAGCCAGUGGAAAUGAAGCAAGCUGGAGGGGCAGAGAACUACCUGAUCUUUGAAAGGUUUGCUCAGUCACUCUGAAGUAGUUUCUUCAUGUGUAAAUUCGGGACAGAGUGAUUUACCUUGAUAAUGGGCCAUUGCAGAGGAAACAAAGCAAACUAUUGUUUGGUGUAAGGGGAAAUCAUUUUUAUUUUUUACUUGUCUCUUAACUACUGAAUCUUAGCAUCUCAGUUGAUUCUGAAUGUUAGUAGCAUUUGUUAGCACCUGGUGUCUUUGUCGCCAUAGAACAGCUGUUUGCACGCUACCUGAAUGUUGCUGUGGAGGUCUCUAAGUAGCAUCUGCACUCAAGUGCUUCAGACCACCGUUCUUCUGAUUUUACUGCUAGCUCUUGAUAUUUAAUGCAUUAAUAAUGAGGCAUGGGAAGCGUUUUAAUUUUAUGAAAUUGUAUUUUAAACUAAUUGGUUUCCUUUGCAAUUGUUAUUAUUUUGGGUAUGCAUUUAAAAACAUUAUUCUGAAAUGUGAUCCAUAGACUCAGGGUACCAAAGAAUCCCUUCUCGCUUUGUAAGUUUUCGUGAUGAUUAAAUGCAGUCAGAUGUGCCC
rnacentral:lncRNA from 1 species